AUGGAGUUACAGCGUGAGGAUAACGAAAACACAUCUUCUAUGACAUACAGAAGAAUGAAGAAGAAAAAAAAUGCUAGUGCAGUGGAGAGGGUGCCAUGGAAAGGUUAUGCCAGAGGCGAGACGCGUUGCCGGGAGUGCGACAACGGGGGCUUAUGCGUCGCCAAGAGUAAGACGAGGGAAGGCAGAGAUGGAGCGCAGUUGAGUGGGAGACGCACAGCGGAGACGGAGGCGAGCUGGUUCAGUCUUGGAGGCAGAGAGAUGAAGAAAGAAAAUGGUGGGUUCCGUCUUAGAGGCGAAGAGAGAUGA